rnacentral:pre_miRNA from 1 species
UUUGUACUCCCUCCUUCCCAAAAUUCUUGUCUUAAAUUUGUCUAAAUACGGAUGUAUCUAGUUACAUUUUAGUGUUAGAUACAUCCGUAUCUAAACAAAUGUAAGACAAGAAUUUUGGGACGAAGGGAAUACUAC